UGGAUCACCUCCUAACAGGGAGACAACAAAAUGUUAAAUAUUAAUUUUGUCACCUUAGGUCGAUCGGUAUCUCACAUUCUUAAAUUUAUUAAGGAUUUCAUUUCCUAAGUUUUUCUAGGUCACACCCAUUAUUUUUCCUGGGCCAUUAGCUCAGGUGGUUAGAGCGCACCCCUGAUAAGGGUGAGGUCCCUGGUUCAAGUCCAGGAUGGCCCAUAUCUCUAUGUUGGGGGUAUAGCUCAGUUGGUAGAGCGCCUGCUUUGCAAGCAGGAUGUCAGCGGUUCGAGUCCGCUUACCUCCACUGAUUACCACCUCUUCCAUAAUUUACAGAAGGAAAAUAACUGUAGGUGUGAUCAAAUUCUGAACGAAUCUAGCUUCCUAAUCAAAUUUAUUAUGAUGCUGGACUCAUUGAAUUAAUUUCAUUGUUUUCAGAGAACCUUGACAACUGCAUAGAUUAUUUUUAAAGACAAUAAGCAUCUUUAAUGAUGCAGAUUUAUUAUUUGUGCGAAUGCAUUAAAUAACAAUUCUAUUAAGCUGAUGCUUCAAUUUUUGAAGUUAUUGGUCAAGCUACAAAGGGCUCACGGAGGAUACCUAGGCACACAGAGGCGAUGAAGG
rnacentral:tRNA from 1 species